UGAGUGGCAAACGGGUGAGUAUAAUGUGGGAAUCUGCCUUUUGGUUUGGAAUAACACGGGGAAACUUGUGCUAAUACCGAAUAAGCCCUUACGGGGAAAAGUUUUAACGCCGAAAGAUGAGCCUGCACUUGAUUAGCUAGUUGGUAAGGUAAAGGCUUACCAAGGCAAUGAUCAAUAGCUGUUCUUAGAGGAAGACCAGCCACAUUGGGACUGAGACACGGCCCAGACUCCUACGGGAGGCAGCAGUGGGGAAUCUUGCACAAUGGGGGAAACCCUGAUGCAGCGAUGCCGCGUGAGUGAAGAAGGCCCUUGGGUUGUAAAACUCUUUCGUCGGGGAAGAAAAUGACUGUACCCGAAUAAGAAGGUCCGGCUAACUUCGUGCCAGCAGCCGCGGUAAUACGAAGGGACCUAGCGUAGUUCGGAAUUACUGGGCUUAAAGAGCUCGUAGGUGGUUAAAAAAGUUGAUGGUGAAAUCCCAAGGCUCAACCUUGGAACUGCCAUCAAAACUUUUUAGCUAGAGUGUGAUAGAGGUAAGUGGAAUUUCUAGUGUAGAGGUGAAAUUCGUAGAUAUUAGAAAGAACACCAAAUGCGAAGGCAACUUACUGGGUCACUACUGACACUGAGGAGCGAAAGCAUGGGUAGCGAAGAGGAUUAGAUACCCUCGUAGUCCAUGCCGUAAACGAUGUGUGCUAGACGUUGGAAAU
rnacentral:rRNA from 1 species